rnacentral:rRNA from 1 species
AUUGAACGCUGGCGGCAGGCCUAACACAUGCAAGUCGAGCGGAUGAAGGGAGCUUGCUCCUGGAUUCAGCGGCGGACGGGUGAGUAAUGCCUAGGAAUCUGCCUGGUAGUGGGGGAUAACGUCCGGAAACGGGCGCUAAUACCGCAUACGUCCUGAGGGAGAAAGUGGGGGAUCUUCGGACCUCACGCUAUCAGAUGAGCCUAGGUCGGAUUAGCUAGUUGGUGGGGUAAAGGCCUACCAAGGCGACGAUCCGUAACUGGUCUGAGAGGAUGAUCAGUCACACUGGAACUGGGACACGGUCCUGACUCCUACGGGAGGCAGCAGUGGGGAAUAUUGGACAAAGGGCGAAAGCCUGAUCCAGCCAUGCCGCGUGUGUGAAGAAGGUCUUCGGAUUGUAAAGCACUUUAAGUUGGGAGGAAGGGCAGUAAGUUAAUACCUUGCUGUUUUGACGUUACCAACAGAAUAAGCACCGGCUAACUUCGUG